rnacentral:lncRNA from 1 species
GUAAGUUUCCUCCACAUCUUUUCAUGGCUUGAUAGCUCAUUUAUUUCGUUUCAGUGCUGAAUAACAUUCCACUGUCUGGAUGUCCCAUUGUUUAUUUAUCCACUCCCUUACUGAAGGACAUCUUGGUUGCUUUCAAGUUUUGGAAAAGUAAAGCUUCUACAAACCCCCAGUGCAGGUUUUCAUGUGGACCUGAGUUUUCAGCCCAUUUGGUGCUGGGAAAGCUGUACGAGGUCUGGAGCGCGGGGCAUCCCGGGAUCAGCUCCCUGCUGCCACAACCCCACUGGUGUUAUUAGUAUCCUCAUCAGAAUGACGUCUUUUCCAGCAGCUUGUUUCUAGCACGUUUCUGAGUUUCUACAGCCCAUCCAGAUCUAGGCCCCUGGUCACAUCCCAGAGCCACCCCCACCACAGACACAAGGCCCCUCAGUGCCAGGCCCCCUUGGUGGAUCUCAAAUGGUUUUGCAUGAGCCCCACCCCACAUAAGGCAGCAGAAGCAGGCUCUUACCCUAUUCGGCAGAUGGGCAGGCUGUGGCUCAGAGAAGCUGAGUGGCUGGCAUAAAAUGGCACAGGAUCUCCUCUACAACCACCUACAACCACCCUCCAUACAGCAAGCCCCUCAGCUUCCCUUUCCACCCAAAGGUCUGGCUCCCACUCUUGGAUGAAGAGAAGGAGCGUCUGAACCCAAAAUUCCUUACAGCACAAUAGACAACUGAAAAACAACUCAACAGAAUUUUAAUUAUUCACAGAAAACGUGUACUGUGUACAAGGUAUUGACCAAAGAACUUUAUAAAUACUAACUCAUUUUCUCCUUAUAACUACCUUAAUGAAGCAGGUACAAUUAUUAUCCCC